GACGAACGCUGGCGGCGUGCCUAACACAUGCAAGUCGAACGGAAACGCACCAGCUUGUUGGUGUACUCGAGGGGCGAACGGGGGAGUAACACGUGGGUGAUCUGCCCUGCACUUCCGGAUAAGCUAGGGAAACUGGGUCUAAUAUCGGAUAGGAUCGCACCUUGGUGUGUGUGGAGGAAAGGUUUUUCUGGUGUGGGAUGAGCUUGCGGCCUAUCGGUUUGGUGGUGGGGUAAUGGCCUACCAAGACUGCGACGAGUAGCCGGUCUGAGAGGGCGGACGGACGCACUGGGACUGAGAGGGAGCCCAGACUCCGAAUGGAGGGAGCAGUGGGGAAUAUUGCACCAAGGGGGAAACCCUGAUGCAGCGAGGCCGCGGGGGGGAUAAAGGCCUUUGGGUUGUAAACUCCUUUCGCUGGUAACGAAGCUUUUUGUGACGGUACCUGGAGAAGAAGCACCGGCUAACUACGUG
rnacentral:rRNA from 1 species